GUGAGUCAUCGAAUCUUUGAACGCACAUUGCGCCCACUAGUAUUCUGGUGGGCAUGCCUGUUCGAGCGUCAUUUCAACCCUCAAGCCUGGCUUGGUGUUGGGGCUCUGCGCCUUGCAGGCCCUCAAAUUCAGUGGCGGACACGCUAGGUCUCCGAGCGCAGUAAUUCUUCUCGCUUCGGGCGUCCGGCGUGGGCUUGCCUCGCACCCAACUUAUACAAGUUUGACCUCGGAUCAGGUAGGAAUACCCGCUGAACUUAAGCAUAUCAAUAAGCGGAGGA
rnacentral:misc_RNA from 1 species